CCUACGGGAGGCUGCAGUGGGGAAUAUUGGACAAUGGGCGAAAGCCUGAUCCAGCCAUGCCGCGUGUGUGAAGAAGGCCUUCGGGUUGUAAAGCACUUUCAGUGGGGAAGAAAGCCUUGGGGCUAAUACCCUCGAGGAAGGACAUCACCCACAGAAGAAGCACCGGCUAACUCCGUGCCAGCAGCCGCGGUAAUACGGAGGGUGCGAGCGUUAAUCGGAAUUACUGGGCGUAAAGCGCGCGUAGGCGGUCUGAUAAGCCGGUUGUGAAAGCCCCGGGCUCAACCUGGGAACGGCAUCCGGAACUGUCAGGCUAGAGUGCAGGAGAGGAAGGUAGAAUUCCCGGUGUAGCGGUGAAAUGCGUAGAGAUCGGGAGGAAUACCAGUGGCGAAGGCGGCCUUCUGGACUGACACUGACGCUGAGGUGCGAAAGCGUGGGUAGCAAACAGGAUUAGAUACCUAUAGUC
rnacentral:rRNA from 1 species